rnacentral:rRNA from 1 species
AAAUUGAAGAGUUUGAUCAUGGCUCAGAUUGAACGCUGGCGGCAGGCCUAACACAUGCAAGUCGAACGGUAACAGGAAGCAGCUUGCUGCUUUGCUGACGAGUGGCGGACGGGUGAGUAAUGUCUGGGAAACUGCCUGAUGGAGGGGGAUAACUACUGGAAACGGUGGCUAAUACCGCAUAACGUCGCAAGACCAAAGAGAGGGACCUUCGGGCCUCUUGCCAUCAGAUGUGCCCAGAU